rnacentral:rRNA from 1 species
GACGAACGCUGGCGGCGUGCUUAACACAUGCAGGUCGAACGGAAAGGCCCUGCUUUUGUGGGGUGCUCGAGUGGCGAACGGGUGAGUAACACGUGAGUAACCUGCCCUUGACUUUGGGAUAACUUCAGGAAACUGGGGCUAAUACCGGAUAGGAGCUCCUGCUGCAUGGUGGGGGUUGGAAAGUUUCGGCGGUUGGGGCUGGACUCGCGGCUUAUCAGCUUGUUGGUGGGGUAGUGGCUUACCAAGGCUUUGACGGGUAGCCGGCCUGAGAGGGUGACCGGCCACAUUGGGACUGAGAUACGGCCCAGACUCCUACGGGAGGCAGCAGUGGGGAAUAUUGCACAAUGGGCGGAAGCCUGAUGCAGCAACGCCGCGUGCGGGAUGACGGCCUUCGGGUUGUAAACCGCUUUCGCCUGUGACGAAGCGUGAGUGACGGUAAUGGGUAAAGAAGCACCGGCUAACUACGUG